AGAUGCCUUUCACUUUUGAGUUGAAUGCCUCGUGCACCCGUGUCAAUAAUCUAUUGAAAUCGAAAUUGAAUGGAGGCUUAUUUUUGUACAAUGACCGCACCCUGGUCGCCACUGCUAGAUAGCAUUCACUUUUGACUUGAAUAUCUCUCAGUAUUCAGUUCAAGUACAGACAAGACAUUGUUCUGUGACACACUUUCAUUUUUUCGCCACUAUAAAACUGUUAAAGUUGUGAUCUCAGUCUCAGAUCGAUCGCUCCUGCUUCAAACAUAUACAUCGAACGCAGCUCUGCCAUCAGAUCUACCAUCAACGUUAACGCACAGUUCGCUUUUUGAAACUUGUCAGCUCCAUCAUCAAAUAUGACGAGUAACUGUUCUCUCAAGCGCUCAUCAUCAGUAGUAGCUGAUGAGGUUAGAGAAAAUAAAAUGUUCAAACCCUAAGUGAUCUCCGUUUUACUUGAUGAACUGAUGAAGAAGGCUGACUCGGAUGGGAUCUUGCUUGACAACACAUCAAGAUGAAAAGUGAGUGACCUGCCGAAAAACGUUUUGAUGCAAAUCAUCUCGCAUGAAUCCAUCAAAGUCAAGGAUGCAGACGUCUGGAAAGUUCUUCUGUGUCCAGCCGUGAAGAAGGAAUCACUUCCAAAAGAAUUCGAUGUUCUUUUGAACACGCAGUAUUCCGAGGCUCUGGAAACUUCAACCCACAUGAUCUUCGCUGGACAUGAACGUUAAAAAACAAUCGGUUAUUUAAUAAAAUCAGAUUCUUCCACUGCGUGGAAGAUGGGGUAGAAGAAGACGAGCAAGAAAAGUAACUGGUCUGUCAAAGUCAGGAUUAACAUACACACACAGACAGUGAAUACCACCCCUAACAACUCUCAACUGAGGAAGAACAGCGAUGAGGCUAUCAUUCGCGUAUCGAUUCAGUUACCUAUGUGUUUCUCAAUAAAAACGUGAAACUUU